CCUGGCUCAGGAUGAACGCUAGCUACAGCGCUUAACACAUGCAAGUCGAGGGGCAGCAUGGUCUUAGCUUGCUAAGGCCGAUGGCGACCGGCGCACGGGUGAGUAACACGUAUCCAACCUGCCGUCUACUCUUGGACAGCCUUCUGAAAGGAAGAUUAAUACAAGAUGGCAUCAUGAGUCCGCAUGUUCACAUGAUUAAAGGUAUUCCGGUAGACGAUGGGGAUGCGUUCCAUUAGAUAGUAGGCGGGGUAACGGCCCACCUAGUCUUCGAUGGAUAGGGGUUCUGAGAGGAAGGUCCCCCACAUUGGAACUGAGACACGGUCCAAACUCCUACGGGAGGCAGCAGUGAGGAAUAUUGGUCAAUGGGCGAGAGCCUGAACCAGCCAAGUAGCGUGAAGGAUGACUGCCCUAUGGGUUGUAAACUUCUUUUAUAAAGGAAUAAAGUCGGGUAUGCAUACCCGUUUGCAUGUACUUUAUGAAUAAGGAUCGGCUAACUCCGUGCCAGCAGCCGCGGUAAUACGGAGGAUCCGAGCGUUAUCCGGAUUUAUUGGGUUUAAAGGGAGCGUAGAUGGAUGUUUAAGUCAGUUGUGAAAGUUUGCGGCUCAACCGUAAAAUUGCAGUUGAUACUGGAUAUCUUGAGUGCAGUUGAGGCAGGCGGAAUUCGUGGUGUAGCGGUGAAAUGCUUAGAUAUCACGAAGAACUCCGAUUGCGAAGGCAGCCUGCUAAGCUGCAACUGACAUUGAGGCUCGAAAGUGUGGGUAUCAAACAGGAUUAGAUACCCUGGUAGUCCACACGGUAAACGAUGAAUACUCGCUGUUUGCGAUAUACAGCAAGCGGCCAAGCGAAAGCGUUAAGUAUUCCACCUGGGGAGUACGCCGGCAACGGUGAAACUCAAAGGAAUUGACGGGGGCCCGCACAAGCGGAGGAACAUGUGGUUUAAUUCGAUGAUACGCGAGGAACCUUACCCGGGCUUAAAUUGCAGAUGAAUUACGGUGAAAGCCGUAAGCCGCAAGGCAUCUGUGAAGGUGCUGCAUGGUUGUCGUCAGCUCGUGCCGUGAGGUGUCGGCUUAAGUGCCAUAACGAGCGCAACCCUUGUUGUCAGUUACUAACAGGUUCCGCUGAGGACUCUGACAAGACUGCCAUCGUAAGAUGUGAGGAAGGUGGGGAUGACGUCAAAUCAGCACGGCCCUUACGUCCGGGGCUACACACGUGUUACAAUGGGGGGUACAGAGGGCCGCUACCACGCGAGUGGAUGCCAAUCCCCAAAACCUCUCUCAGUUCGGACUGGAGUCUGCAACCCGACUCCACGAAGCUGGAUUCGCUAGUAAUCGCGCAUCAGCCACGGCGCGGUGAAUACGUUCCCGGGCCUUGUACACACCGCCC
rnacentral:rRNA from 1 species